CCUACGGGAGGCAGCAGUGAGGAAUAUUGGUCAAUGGACGCAAGUCUGAACCAGCCAUGCCGCGUGCAGGAAGACGGCUCUAUGAGUUGUAAACUGCUUUUGUACGAGGGUAAACGCAGAUACGCGUAUCUGUCUGAAAGUAUCGUACGAAUAAGGAUCGGCUAACUCCGUGCCAGCAGCCGCGGUAAUACGGAGGAUUCAAGCGUUAUCCGGAUUUAUUGGGUUUAAAGGGUGCGUAGGCGGUCGGAUAAGUUAGUGGUGAAAUCCUGGGGCUCAACUUCGGAAUUGCCACUGAUACUGGUAGGCUAGAGAGUAGUUGCGGUAGGCGGAAUGUGUGGUGUAGCGGUGAAAUGCUUAGAGAUCAUGCAGAACACCGAUUGCGAAGGCAGCUUACCAAGCUACUUCUGACGUUGGGGCACGAAAGCGUGGGGAGCAAACAGGAGUAGAUACCCUAGUAGUC
rnacentral:rRNA from 1 species